GACUCUUGGCAACGAAUAUAUCGACUCUUGUGACGAUGAAGAAAAUAGCGAAAUGUGAUACUUAGUGUGAAUUGCGGAAUCCCGUGAAUCAUCGAGUUUUUGAACGCAAUUUGCACCCGAGGCCUCGGUCGAGGGCAUGUCUGUCUGGGUGUCG
rnacentral:rRNA from 1 species